GACGAACGCUGGCGGCGUGCCUAACACAUGCAAGUCGAACGGAGAUACGAUUUCGGUUGUAUCUUAGUGGCGAACGGGUGAGUAACGCGUGAGCAACCUGACCUUCAGAGGGGGAUAACAUUUGGAAACAGAUGCUAAUACCGCAUAAGACCACGACCCGACAUCGGUAUGAGGUCAAAGGAGCAAUCCGCUGAAGGAGGGGCUCGCGUCCCAUUAGAUAGAUGGCGGGGUAACGGCCCACCGUGUCGACGAUGGGUAGCCGAGCUGAGAGGCUGAUCGGCCACACUGGAACUGAGACACGGUCCAGACUCCUACGGGAGGCAGCAGUGGGGAAUAUUGGGCAAUGGGCGCAAGCCUGACCCAGCAACGCCGCGUGAGGGAAGAAGGCUUUCGGGUUGUAAACCUCUGUCCUUGGUGACGAAACAAAUGACGGUAGCCAAGGAGGAAGCCCCGGCUAACUACGUGCCAGCCGCCGCUGUAA
rnacentral:rRNA from 1 species